GUAAUGAUGGCAGAGAGGUCACACCCGUUCCCAUACCGAACACGGAAGUUAAGCUCUCUAGCGCCGAUGGUAGUUGGGACCUUGUCCCUGUGAGAGUAGGACGUUGCCAGGCAAU
rnacentral:rRNA from 1 species